GGGGGGGGGGGGGGGGGGGGCGAGGGCGGGGGGGGGGGGCGGGGGGCGGGGGCGGGGUGCGGGGGUCGGCGGCGGAGGGGUGAGUGAGGGCUAGGAAGCUGACGAGUAGUGGGGGCGGAGUGCCGUGCAUGGGCGCUAAUACAGCAGUCGCCCGGAUGUCGAACUUGUGGGUUCCGCGUAUAUGCUCCUCACAGACGGGUCGCUGUGGGAUUAGCUAGUUGGUGGGGGAAAGGCCGACCACGGCGACCUGCGGUCCCUGGUAUGAGAGGAUGAUCAGUCACACUGGGACUGAGACACGGUCCAGACUCCUACGGGAGGCAGCAGUGGGGAAUAUUGGACAAUGGGCGAAAGCCUGAUCCAGACAUGCCGCGUGUGUGAAGAAGGUCUUCGGGUUGUAAAGCACUUUUAGUUGGGAGGAAGAGCAGUAAGUUAAUACCUUGCUGUUUUGACGUUACCAACAGAAUAAGCACCGGCUAACUUCGUG
rnacentral:rRNA from 1 species